rnacentral:lncRNA from 1 species
AUGGCAGAACCAGAGCUCUCCUCACCUGGGUCAGAAACAGGCCAUGAGAUCUGGUCUAACCAGCAGACCUGGCCUCCCUGGAUCCUGGAGGACCAAACAUCACUGGUACUAAAGGUGCUGUGCCUGGAAGGCAGGAGGCAGGUCCAGGGGCAGGAAGAGAGGCCACUACCUUCCUGCAGUGAAAGCAUGAGGCGUUUUUCUGCAAAGGUCAGAAGACACAGCUGUGCUGAGCUGCGCUGCCUGAAGCAUGCAGAACCUCCGCACGCUGAGUGGAGCAAAUGCAAAGCCUUUCUCCUCCUGCACAUGAACGAUGGAUUCACCCACCAUCCCCUCCAUGACUGCUUUUCCCCAGCCAACACCUCGCUGGGGAGCAGGCUGAUAUUACCACCAUUUCCCAGAGGACCCCAGCCCAUGGGCCACAACUCGCCCACUGUGGGGCCAGACCAAGUGGAAGAGCCGUGCCAACCUCCAGGCCUGGGCCAGUUGACAGGGCGCUCCAUCCCGCGUUACCUCUCCAGGGCACAUCUACUCUCUUCUUCCACCUGUAUUAAUGCUCAGGGCGCACAGAUUUAAAACUGACUCACAGAUAAAAGGGGUGCCAGCUGCAGAAGCAAAACCGGGAGCCUAUGGUCAUCCUCCCACUGCGGGCAGUGAGGCCUCUAGUACCGAGAGGAAAUCCCACCCAAACAUACCUCCGAGUGUCCCUGCCCAGGACAGGAAACCCAAGCAUGGCCCUGUCACAGUCAAGCCGGAAAGAAAAGCAGAGCCUACGUGGUUCCCUCACUAGCACACCUGCAGGCGGGGAAGCCUUGGGCUCGGCCCCUGCCGGACAGCACUGAGCCACAUCCCCGCCCAGAUAGAGCAGACGGACACUGCACACAGUGAUGCUCAAGAUCUUGCCACAUCUGACACCAGAAGGCACUUUUAAGGGUUUUCCAACAUUAGCAGCCGUGAGAUCAGUUAACGACUGAGAAAACAAAGGCGCUAGAGCAGCUAAAACGAAGGCCCAUGGCGGAGUGAGGGCCAUGUGGGGUCAACUUUCUGGCAUCAAGGAUGACACAGGGCUAAAAAGCUCUACGCCUGACCAAGUCAACCCCGAGCCUGCGAUUUCCCUUGGACAAAAUCUCCAGAAUGCCUUUCCUAUCAUCAGCCUCUUCCUCCACUUGAAUUGAGGCUGCUCUUAGCUGGAUUUCAGUUACGUAAUGUUUAUGUGGUCAUUACUCUGUACUGUUUGCCGACUGCGUCUUUUCCCUUGGUUUGCAAAAGUAAAUCUCAGACCACAUGUAGGUGUUGACAGAUUCAGACCACAUUCGACCAGCUUGUGGAUCACCACUCCAUUAGGCCAGGAGGGUCUCCUCUGCAAGGACUGUGCUUCACUACUUGCUGAAUGUGGAUCACAGACCCCCAGGGCAUCUGGGUACCGGGCUACGUGGCAACACCAAUAGCACACGAACUCAAGAUGAAAAUAAUAUAUUGGUAAGCUGUUCUAAUCAACUUUAAAAGCUCUGUGUGCGCUGCUAAUAUGAAAAGAUUGUCUCUCCUCCUUAGCUUCCCAUUCUAUUUCACCAUCUCUUCAAAGUUAUGUCCCAGAAAGCCUGAAAAUUUAUCUGCUGCUGCUGCUGCUGCUAAGUCACUUCAGUCGUGUCCGACCCUGUGCGACCCCAUAGACGGCAGCCCACCAGGCUCCACCGUCCCUGGGAUUCUCUAGGCAAGAUCACUGGAGUGGGUUGCCAUUUCCUUCUCCAAUGCAUGAAACUGAAAAGUGAAAGUGAAGUCGCUCAGUCGUGUCUGACCCUCAGCGACCCCAUGGACUGCAGCCCACCAGGCUCCUCCGUCCAUGGGGUUUUCCAGGCAAGAGUACUGGAGUGGGGUGCCAUAGCCUUCUCCGCUUUAUCUGCUAGGGAUGCAGGAAAUUAAAGUGUUAGUCUCUCAGUUGUGUCUGACUCUUUGCAACCCCAUGGACUGUAGCCCUCUAGGCUCCUCUAUCAUGGGAUUCUCCAGGCAAGAAUACUAGGGUGAGUUGCCAUUCCCUUCUCCAGGGGAUCUUUCCAAACCAGGGAUCUAACCCACAUCUCCUGCAUUGCAGGCAGAGUCUCUUACCAUCUGAGCCACCAGUGAAGCCCCCGCAGAAAAUUAUGCAAAUUGAGAAAUCACUGGGGAGAUGACUCUGAGGUUUAACAUCUAAGGAUGCUGCCAAUGUAACUUUCACGUCCAAAUACUUUGAUUAAAAAUAGGAAAUUCUAUUAUAAGAAAAUAAAGUUACCAUGGCAACAUUUUCCCA